rnacentral:lncRNA from 1 species
UUUUGUUGUUUUUUUGAUUUUAAACAUAUUUUAUUCAUUAAGAUAUGAAAAGGAUUGAGCAACAGGCACAGCCUAUAAAAGCUCUCUCCAUAUUACAUGUACAAGGUAUAAUUCAAUCACAACAACUGUAUUUAAAAUAAUGCAAUAUAGUGGAACAUGCAUGCUACUUGUGAGCACACACGAGCAAAUAUAUGUUAACAGUGUUAC